AUUAUUUUGUGACUGAGUGGCGGACGGGUGAGUAACGCGUGGGUAACCUGCCUUGUACAGGGGGAUAACAGUUGGAAACGGCUGCUAAUACCGCAUAAGCGCACAGUACCGCAUGGUAUAGUGUGAAAAACUCCGGUGGUAUAAGAUGGACCCGCGUUUGAUUAGCUGGUUGGUGGGGUAACGGCCUACCAAGGCGACGAUCAAUAGCCGACCUGAGAGGGUGGCCGGCCACAUUGGGACUGAGACACGGCCCAAACUCCUACGGGAGGCGGCAGUGGGGAAUAUUGCACAAUGGGCGAAAGCCUGAUGCAGCGACGCCGCGUGAGCGAAGAAGUAUUUCGGUAUGUAAAGCUCUAUCAGCAGGGAAGAUAAUGACGGUACCUGACUAAGAAGCACCGGCUAAAUACGUGCCAGCAGCCGCGGUAAUACGUAUGGUGCAAGCGUUAUCCGGAUUUACUGGGUGUAAAGGGAGCGCAGGCGGUGCGGCAAGUCUGAUGUGAAAGCCCGGGGCUCAACCCCGGUACUGCAUUGGAAACUGUCGUACUAGAGUGUCGGAGGGGUAAGCGGAAUUCCUAGUGUAGCGGUGAAAUGCGUAGAUAUUAGGAGGAACACCAGUGGCGAAGGCGGCUUACUGGACGAUAACUGACGCUGAGGCUCGAAAGCGUGGGGAGCAAACAGGAUUAGAUACCCUGGUAGUCCACGCCCGUAAACGAUGAAUACUAGGUGUCGGGGAGGCAUUGCCUUUUCGGUGCCGUCGCCAAACGCAGU
rnacentral:rRNA from 1 species